UCAACAGGUGAUGAAAUUUCCAUUGAACAUUCGCAGUUUCCCCGGAGCGGCAUACGAACCCAAUUUUGCCGCAGAUGUCGUGCAUAGUCCUUCCUUUGGAUGUCUGAUGUUG
rnacentral:snoRNA from 15 species